rnacentral:rRNA from 1 species
GACGAACCGUACUAACGUUAUUCGGAAUCACUGGGCUUAAAGGGUGCGUAGGCUGUGCGGAAAGUUGGGUGUGAAAUACCUCAGCUUAACUGAGGAAUUGCGCCCAAAACUACCGUGCUCGAGGGAGACAGAGGUGAGCGGAACUUAGGGUGGAGCGGUGAAAUGCGUUGAUAUCCUAAGGAACACCGGUGGCGAAAGCGGCUCACUGGGUCUCUUCUGACGCUGAGGCACGAAAGCUAGGGUAGCGAACGGG